rnacentral:rRNA from 1 species
GACGAACGCUGGCGGCGUGCCUAAUACAUGCAAGUAGAACGCACAGUUUAUACCGUAGCUUGCUACACCAUAGACUGUGAGUUGCGAACGGGUGAGUAACGCGUAGGUAACCUGCCUGGUAGCGGGGGAUAACUAUUGGAAACGAUAGCUAAUACCGCAUAAUAUUAAUUAUUGCAUGAUAAUUGAUUGAAAGAUGCAACUGCAUCACUACCAGAUGGGCCUGCGUUGUAUUAGCUAGUAGGUGAGGUAACGGCUCACCUAGGCGACGAUACAUAGCCGACCUGAGAGGGUGAUCGGCCACACUGGGACUGAGACACGGCCCAGACUCCUACGGGAGGCAGCAGUAGGGAAUCUUCGGCAAUAGACGAAAGUCUGACCGAGCAACGCCGCGUGAGUGAAGAAGGUUUUCGGAUCGUAAAGCUCUGUUGUAAGAGAAGAACGGGUGUGAGAGUGGAAAGUUCACACUGUGACGGUAUCUUACCAGAAAGGGACGGCUAACUACGUG